rnacentral:lncRNA from 1 species
CGAUGUUCGGACUUUCGAAUCGACGAUUGGCUCCGUUAGAGUUGAUCUAGAGUAGUUAAAGUACCUAGAAAAUAAAUUUUGCGAUUUUUCGAUAUCAUUUUCCUAAUGAUUGAAGGGGCUCAAAAUCAAUAAUUUUAAUGACCGUGGUAAGCCGGUUGCAAGUUUAACGGUGUAGAAAUAUCCAAAUCAUGUGAAAUUUUGAUAGAAAAUUCUUUAUACUAUAUAAAAUAAGAUCAAUAUCUUUGAUAUAAAUUUUUAAUGUCAUAUCAUCACAUUUUGUGAGAUUUCUAUUUUCAGCCGUUGAUUUUGAGCCCCUUUGAUCAUUAGGCAAAUGAUAUCGAAAAAUCGCAAAAUUUAUUUUCUAGGUACUUCAAAUACUCUAGAUCAACUCUAACGGAAUCGAUCGUCGAUUCGAAAGUCCUAACAUCGAAAACAACUUGGAAGCACGGAGGCCUCCGUGCUUCC